rnacentral:tRNA from 1 species
GCACCGGGUGGUCGAGGAAGGCGGCGACGUCGUUGACACCGGCGCAGGCGAUGCCGAUCGCCUCCAGGUGCUUCAGCAGCUCCUCGGCGUC